GAGUUAUGAUGAUCUUAUAAUUCGGUAUGAAGAUUGGAAGGGUAACUCGGAUUGACCCGAAUCAAUUCAAUACAUUGUUGUCGCAAUAUUUAUAAAAAAAAUAUCAUUUUGAAUAUUUAUUUUGAGUCAAAUUAUGUUUUCACUGAUUAUCCAGGUUGUCUUUGAACUUG
rnacentral:misc_RNA from 1 species